UCCGGUUUAUCACCGGCAGUCUCCCGCGAGUCCCCAACACCACUUGCUGGCAACACGGGAUAAGGGUUGCGCUCGUUACGGGACUUAACCCAACAUUUCACAACACGAGCUGACGACAGCCAUGCAGCACCUGUCACUGCGCUCCCGAAGGCACCAAGGUGUCUCCACCCAGUUCGCAGGAUGUCAAGGGGUGGUAGGUUUUUCGCGUUGCAUCGAAUUAAACCACAUGCUCCACCGCUUGUGCGGGCCCCCGUCAAUUCAUUUGAGUUUUAACCUUGCGGCCGUACUCCCCAGGCGGUCUACUUAAUGCGUUAGCUGCGCCACAAGAGAUACAAGAUCCCCAACGGCUAGUAGACAGCGUUUACAGCGUGGACUAC
rnacentral:misc_RNA from 1 species